rnacentral:rRNA from 1 species
CCCUUAGAUGUUCUGGGCCGCACGCGUGCUACACUGAUGCAUUCAACGAGUCUAAAACCUGGUCUGAUAGGGCUGGGUAAUCUUUUGAAAGUGCAUCGUGAUUGGGAUAGAUGAUUGCAAUUCUUCAUCUUCAACGAGGAAUGCCUAGUAAACGCAAGUCAUCAGCUUGCAUUGAUUACGUCCCUGCACUUUGUACACACCGCCCGUCGCUCCUACCGAUUGAAUGAUCCGAUGAAUACCAUGGAUUGAGAGUACGAAUAGGUUCGCUUAUUUCUGCUGCUCGAGAAGUGGAGUAAAUCUUAUCAUUUAGAGGAAGGAGAAGUCGUAACA